rnacentral:rRNA from 1 species
AAAGCGAUUCAGCGGGUUACGAUUGACGGAGCGAAGCGACGUCAAAGCGUAUACAAAGUCGAGUCGGUUUAAGGAUACGUUCGUUGGGUAGGGGAGCGUUCUGUAAGCCUGUGAAGGUGGCCUGUGAGGGUUGCUGGAGGUAUCAGAAGUGCGAAUGCUGACAUAAGUAACGAUAAAGCGGGUGAAAAGCCCGCUCGCCGGAAGACCAAGGGUUCCUGUCCAACGUUAAUCGGGGCAGGGUGAGUCGACCCCUAAGGCGAGGCCGAAAGGCGUAGUCGAUGGGAAACGGGUUAAUAUUCCCGUACUUGGUGUUACUGCGAAGGGGGGACGGAGAAGGCUAUGUUGGCCGGGCGACGGUUGUCCCGGUUUAAGCGUGUAGGUGUGUGUUCCAGGUAAAUCCGGUUCACUUUAACACUGAGGCGUGA